CGGUGGCGCACGCCUGUAGUCCC
rnacentral:piRNA from 1 species